rnacentral:rRNA from 1 species
AUUGAACGCUGGCGGCAGGCUUAACACAUGCAAGUCGAGCGGGGUGAUGGUGCUUGCACUAUCACUUAGCGGCGGACGGGUGAGUAAUGCUUAGGAAUCUGCCUCUUAGUGGGGGACAACAUCUCGAAAGGGAUGCUAAUACCGCAUACGUCCUACGGGCGCAAGCAGGGGAUCCCUUGUGACCUUGCGCUAAUAGAUGAGCCUAAGUCGGAUUAGCUAGUUGGUGGGGUAAAGGCCUACCAAGGCGACGAUCUGUAGCGGGUCUGAGAGGAUGAUCCGCCACACUGGGACUGAGACACGGCCCAGACUCCUACGGGAGGCAGCAGUGGGGAAUAUUGGACAAUGGGGGGAACCCUGAUCCAGCCAUGCCGCGUGUGUGAAGAAGGCCUUAUGGUUGUAAAGCACUUUAAGCGAGGAGGAGGCUCUUUUGGUUAAUACCCAAGAUGAGUGGACGUUACUCGCAGAAUAAGCACCGGCUAACUCUGUGCCAGCCGCCGCAGUAA